GUGAGGAAGGGGGUGACUAGUGACAGAGGGAGGGGUGACUAGGGACAGAGUGAGGGAGGUGGUGACUAGUGACUAGUGACAGUUACCACCUCCCUCACUCUGUCACUGUGUCACCCCCUCCCUCACUCUGUCACUGUGUCACCCCCUCCCUCACUCUGUCACUGUGUCACCCCCUCCCUCUGUCACUGGUCACCCACUCCCUCCCUCAC